rnacentral:tRNA from 1 species
GACUCCGUAGUGAAGUUCAUGUUGAGUUGCAAGCUCAUCGAUGCGCAUUAAAUGUGUGCCGGAGUCU